GACUCUUGACAAUGUAUAUCUUGGCUCUUGUAUCAAUGAAGAAUGCAACAAAAUGCGAUACUUGGUAUGAAUUACAGAAUCCCAUGAACUAUCGAGUUUUUGAACGCAAGUUGCACCCGAGGCAAUUAUGCCGAGGGCACGUCCACCUGGGCAUCA
rnacentral:rRNA from 1 species